UCCGGCGUGGCGCAGCGGUAGCGCAGCGGACUGUUAAUCCGUUGGUCGUAGGUUCGAAUCCUACCGCCGGAGCCA
rnacentral:tRNA from 40 species